rnacentral:lncRNA from 1 species
GCCCACGUGGGUUGAGAGCAUCAACCCACAGGACACAGAAUCACCUUGAGACUGAACCUACUGCCUUUUUUUCUUUCCAAAUUAUCUCACUUAUAACAGUGUAUCCUUUUUUAUAGACCAACUUCCAAAGGGUUCAGACUGAGUUAUCCACAAGUCCCAGCCUGGGUUCUGAACACAAAGGGCCCCCGAGGGGCACCCACACGUCACUGAUGACCAGACACACACACGGUUCACCCCACAAAGUAUGAGAGCCGCUCGGGACUCCUCCAUCCCUCACGUCUCACUUCC